GACGAACGCUGGCGGCGUGCCUAAUACAUGCAAGUAGAACGCUGAAGGAGGAGCUUGCUUCUCUGGAUGAGUUGCGAACGGGUGAGUAACGCGUAGGUAACCUGCCUGGUAGCGGGGGAUAACUAUUGGAAACGAUAGCUAAUACCGCAUAAUAGCAGUUAUUGCAUGAUAACUGUUUGAAAGGUGCAAUUGCACCACUACCAGAUGGACCUGCGUUGUAUUAGCUAGUUGGUGGGGUAACGGCUCACCAAGGCGACGAUACAUAGCCGACCUGAGAGGGUGAUCGGCCACACUGGGACUGAGACACGGCCCAGACUCCUACGGGAGGCAGCAGUAGGGAAGCUUCGGCAAUGGACGGAAGUCUGACCGAGCAACGCCGCGUGAGUGAAGAAGGUUUUCGGAUCGUAAAGCUCUGUUGUAAGAGAAGAACGAGUGUGAGAGUGGAAAGUUCACACUGUGACGGUAUCUUACCAGAAAGGGACGGCUAACUACGUG
rnacentral:rRNA from 1 species